rnacentral:tRNA from 1 species
GAUUUGUGGUGUAGUGGUUUGAGCAUGGACUAUGAUUCUGGAGAUCAGGGUUCGAUUCCCCGCUUGAACA